rnacentral:ribozyme from 1 species
UGCCCAGAAACUCGUAUCCCUAUCUCCGCGUGGCACCGGCCGGGCUGCAAGCAACCUUACGGAACAAGCCCCGGUGGGAAAUUUUGUCGUAGGCUGACAGGGAAGG